rnacentral:rRNA from 1 species
CAGCGCCACAAGUGGGGAUCAUUUUUAUUUGGCCCAAAGCGUCCGUAGCUGGUUUAGUAAAUCUUUUGUGAAAUCGUUUCGCUUAACGAAACGGCGUGCAGGAGAGACUGCUAGACUAGGAACCGGGAGGAGUCAGAGGUAUGCUUGGGGGAGCGGUAAAAUGCUAUAAUCCCUAGCAGACCACCUGUGGCGAAGGCGUCUGACUAGAACGGGUUCGACGGUAAGGGACGAAACCCUGGGGCGCGAACCGGAUUAGAUACCCGAGUAGUCC